AGACUCCAAGUUUUUUAAGUUGGCUGAAAUAUCUGCCACUGUUGAUCUGAUAGUUAGCAGUUACUGUAUAUCUGAAUCCAGUUAACUUCAAGGACUUCAAAACCAAGUUAAGCCUGCAUCCCCAGGCCCCCAUUAGCCGUUGAUGUUAUUUUCCAUGCUCCUGGAAUUAUGUGGGCGUAGCUUGCCUAGAUUGGCGCAUUCCGUCGCGUCGUGCGUUUAUCCAAUUCUUGAGCCAGCAACCCCAGUUUCUAUGCCUUUAGCGACAUGAAAAGGGCCAGAGAUGCCGGUGUAAAGAACAGCGAGGUGCUUGAGGGAUCUUCGGAGGACCAAUACCAGCCA
rnacentral:sRNA from 2 species